AUUACACAGAUAUGAAGGCGGGGCUGGAACCUCUCGGGGUUGCAGUCUUGCUGAAUUAUUCACCCGUGUCAAUUGCGUACUUCUUGUUUCCUGGGUGGGUUCGCCCACCACCAGGACAAACCAUGAACCUUUUGUAAUUGCAAUCAGCGUCAGUAACAACACAAUCAUUUACAACUUUCAACAACGGAUCUCUUGGUUAUUGCAUCGAUGAAGAACGCAGCGAAAUGCGAUAAGUAGUGUGAAUUGCAGAAUUCAGUGAAUCAUCGAAUCUUUGAACGCACAUUGCGCCCUUUGGCAUUCCCUAGGGCAUGCCUGUUCGAGCGUCAUUUGUACCCUCAAGCUUUGCUUGGUGUUGGGCGUCUUUGUCUCUGGCUUUGCUGGAGACUCGCCUUAAAGGAACUAGCAGCCGGCCUACUGGUUUCGGAGCGCAGCACAAGUCGCACUCUCUUCCAGCCACGGUCUGGCAUAAUUGAAGCCUUUUUUUUUUUCAACCUUUGACCUCAAAUCAGGUAGGGAU
rnacentral:rRNA from 1 species